rnacentral:rRNA from 1 species
UACGUAGGUGGUUUAUUAAGUCAGAUGUGAAAGCCCUGGGCUUAACCUGGGAACUGCAUUUGAUACUGGUAAACUAGAGUAUGGUAGAGGGGGUAGAAUUCCUAGUGUAGCGGUGAAAUGCGUAGAUAUUAGGAGGAAUACCAGUGGCGAAGGCGGCCCCCCUGGGCCUAUACUGACACUGAGGUACGAAAGCGUGGGUAGCGAACA